GCUUGCUGUUGUCAGUUGGCCAACGGCGGCGGUGAGAUUGACGAGAGCGAGAGUUUCCAAAAAAUUAUUGCCAAAAAUAUGCCAACAACGUAAAUCAACAACAAAAUAAAGCUUCAAAAGUAUACUAAGUGGUAUGCGUAAGAAGCACUCAUGUGGCGCAUAUAUGGGUGCAUGUGUACAAACAUGCAGAUACAUAUGUCAACAGCAGUGGCAAAAAUUCCAAUAAACUGCAGCCACAUCCGUGCUGGUUUACUGCUCAGUGGCGCUCAAACACAUGCCACACAUACGCACACUAUCAAACUUUACUGUUGAGCGCGCUGAGCAGCUGCUUGAAAAAUGCCAACACUCAAAAGUAGUAAAAAAAAAAACACAAAAACAUUGCCAAAAAUUUUUGAGUGCAAUUUGUACGCUUGGAGAUUGCGCUCAAAACAAACCAAGGAGCCAAGUGUCUAAAAUGCAGAAAAUGUUGUCACAGCAAGAGAACUUACUCUUUGUGGUUGACCGAGAAGUUUGGUGUCCAUUUUGACGAUUAAAUUGGUGCUACCUUCAAAGAAGUCUUCUUCCAACUUAGACGGAGUUCAUUCACAUCUUAGCUUUAGUACCACAACUACUUCGCCUUUAAACGUUUUCACAAAGUUCCAAUUAAGAAUGUCAGCGUGGAACUAUGUGAAGAGAUCUAGCCUUGACAAGCAGUGGCUAGCUGCCGUACGCAGUAGUAUAAAGUAAGCCACAUUCCUCAGGGGCAUAACUUUCGGCUGCCUGACUCGAGUCAUUGCCUGAAGAGCUGGCAGUGAGAAUUCUUUAUCUGAUGCCUCCUCCAUAUGUAUAUGUACGCAGAUACUGGCAAGAUAGUCUACGCUGUAGAGCUUUGACGGAAGCUCAACCCAUCUGCUAAGAAAUUGGCAUAGAAGCGAGCCACCUCAGUAACUGCGAAAAGACCGACAAUUAACGUUGGUGGCGAAGGAGUAAGGUUAAAGUUAGCGACGUUGCUUUCUUCAUCUGUCGAAAGUUGAAGUCCUUAUCUGGCCAUCAGCUGAUCGAUAUCUAUAAAUGAAUAUUGAAAUUGAUUGACUUGCGGUCGUGGCGAAAAAUUACUGAAGAGUCGCUCCCAAUAACUAGCUCAGGAAGUGAGUUUUAUACAUGCCGGAAAAUUUGAACGUUUGAUUUCUUUUAUAAAGUGCUGGGUAAGAUAACUUCAGCUGUAGGAUGAAACCGCUCAGGUAUGACCUCUCUCGAUUAACAAAAGUCAUGAUCCCGUCCUACUCUGAAGCGUCAAAGUUGAUAAGUAUAUAAUAUCGUUUAAGGCGGCUUCUGGACUACCAAAGCAACCUGACUCAACAUAAACGUGGCAUGCGUAAAGUGCAAACACUUUAUCAAUAAGACUUUCCCGGUGAGAGAACUGUUCCAGAGCACGGGACUUGUGGUCGACAGUGGUCAGUACUUUUUCGAGAUCAAGCCUCGGGGUUAAAAGGAAUUAAACAAGGGGUCCCAUAAGCUGUUGCUCUCUCCCUAUUGUUUUACUUCUACAGCGCGAAGCUUCCUCAGCCACCAGACGGAGAUCACUGAUCUCGUACGCUGAUGGUUGCCCGAUUUUGGCGUCCGAAGACGAUCUUUCUCGCUUCUUCACUCCAUACAAACUUACCUUCUUCAGUAUAAUAUCAGCAGCGACCCCAUGCACCAACUGGAUGAAGGAGGUCAAGCUGCAAUUAGGCAUCCACGUCAACGACGCAACGAUACUGGCUAUUGUUAGCCGGAAAAUUUUAAGGGUUACCUUUGUACCUGGCGCACACAGCCACCACAAAGCGCUCGCUGGCAGCACUUGAAGCAAAGAAAAGGAAGCAACAAUCAA